ensembl:lncRNA
CUCCCAUCCUGCCUUGAAAUUGUCUCUCCAGCUAACGCAGUGCUGCUGCAUGACUCACCUAAGUCUGCUCCUGCGAUCUUCAGUCUGUCUGGCUGCCAGCAAAUGGGUGAUGGGAAGAAGAAGGCUCAAAGGGAAAGACUCCAGUUCCUUCUAAAAAUUCUGGAGAAAUUCUGCUUUCCUCCCCAUUGCAACUGAUGAACAUCCACCAACAACCAAGCAAAGUUUUAUUCUUUAAUGUCAGAAGAGUCAUGGCAGUUUUUCCACUAAACACAUCCUUUGAAUAUGAAGUUAAAAUCAGAGUUGGUUAGCUUUUGUUAGCGGAAAGAUCUGAAGCAAGAGGAAACAUGGUGGCCUGGCUCUUUGCAAGAAUAACACAACCCACCUACCAGCACCCCUACAGCUCUCUAAUUAACACAUUGUGGUUUUACAGAGAGGAUCAGCCACAACAUUAAACCUACUGAAAGGUGACGUGUGUAAUCAUUAGGUCACAAUGCAAUGCCCUCCUGGGAAACUGAGUCCUUGCAUUCUUGGGAUGUUACUUUGAAACCCAUCUGAAGACCAAGAAUACCCCAACAUGGCAACAAUAUUCUCCUCACUACACCUAAAAAACUGCUCAGGAGCAACUCAGGGAACAUGGCAAAGAGCCUAAGGCCUUUAUCCAACCUCCUAAAGCCCGAGAUCCCAAUCUGAUGGACGUGUCAGAACGAGCCCAACCCAUGGAAGCCCCACCAAGCAACCCAAACAACCCAGAGGAUCUGCCUAAGUCCCACUGCCAGACACCACUGGACACCCCAAGAGGUCCUGUGUACAUAAUCAAUGAUUAAAAGCUGUUUUAAGCAGUCGAAAUGGGACCUACACAAUACUAAGCAGGGGGUUUUAAUGUUGUGGCUGAUGGAAAUAGCUUAGCUUAGCAUUUAUCCCACGUACCAGCACCAGUCUCUGUUCAAUAAAGCGUAUUUCUCAAACGUCAGACUGUUCCCUCAACUCUCUAUUGUGCUGUGCUGUCCACCGUCCACUCAUUGUAAAGCUGUGUAAGCUGUUGUUUUGUUUGGAGCAGCUGAUCGCAGGCGAAGACAAGGAGGGGAAUCCUGCUAUCUCUUCCCUCCUGUCAACAAGGUGCUGCCUGCAAAUCAGCCUGUGAGUAAAUGCUUUAAACAGGGAGAGAUAAAGCCUCGGCCUCCCACGUGUGCAGCCUCAGAUGCCAGAUUCAAGAGCGUAUUAGCUGUUUGUUUCAGGGGGCAGAAUGAUUAGAGAAGAGGGCGGAUUAUUAAUGGUUGGAGAUGCAUCCUGUCAGGAGCUAGCCAUCUCCAUGAAUGUGUGGGACUGAUGCUGCAGCACAAGGAGGC